rfam:Pan troglodytes isolate Yerkes chimp pedigree #C0471 (Clint) chromosome X, whole genome shotgun sequence.
GCUGGGCGUGGUGGUGCAUGCCUGUAAUCCCAGCUACUUGGGAGGCUGAGGCAGGAGAAUUGCUUGAACCCGGGAGGUGGAGGUUGCAGGGAGGUGGAGGUUGCAGUGAGCUGAGAUUACGCCACUGCUCUCUAGCCUGGGCAACAGAGCAAGACUCUGACUCCG